GCCUCCCCAAAAUGAUUGGCAUAUCAGAAUCCUCUUCCAUGUCUAGAAAGAUAAAGUCAACUGGGAUGUAGAAGUUUCCAACCUUGAGUGGGACAUUCUCCAAGAUUCCUUCUAAAUACUUAAUUGAUCUGUUAGCUAACUAAAGAGAAAUGUGAGUUGGUUUAAGAUCUCCCAUGUUAAGCUUUUCAUAUAUGGAGAGGGGCAUAAGGCUAACA
rnacentral:misc_RNA from 1 species